UGCAGGCAGAUGUUACUGAUAUGCGCGUGCAAUUUGUCAUUGCCGAUUGCCGUUUUCCUUUAAUAUCGUCCCACGUGUGGAAGGCUAUUGCAUUUCUUCUUCAACACCGGAAUCCAGAUUUCAUUUAGUUUCAUGCCGUCCUCCACCUUAUUGAAAUUUGUUGCGGUGUUUUACAUUUUCUAUAGCCUCUCUGUACAGUCUUUCGUGGUAUCUAUUUGUGGCUGCAAAAAACCUGAGUCUUAUCAAAUUGCAUAAGGUGGUCCCCUGGUUGAAAAACGUGUUCAGGAACAGCUGAUCUGUCAAUCUCGCCCCUUCUACAAUUCCCUUUGUGCUCUUCUUGUGGUACCCAUGUAUACGUCUUCACAGCUACACGGAAUCCUAUAAAUUCCUGCU
rnacentral:lncRNA from 1 species